GACGAACGCUGGCGGCGUGCCUAAUACAUGCAAGUAGGACGCAGUUGCGAACGGGUGAGUAACGCGUAGGUAACUACCUAUUAGAGGGGGAUAAAUAUUGGAAACAAUAGCUAAUACCGCAUACUAGUAGAUGGACCUGCGUUGUAUUAGCUAGUAGGUAGGGUAAUGGCCUAACUAGGAAAAGGUACAUAGCCGCCCUGGUGAGGAGGACGGCCACAAUGGGACUGAGACACGGCCCAGACUCCUACUGGAGGUAGCAGUAGGGAAUCUUAGGAAAUUGGGGGAACCCUGACCGAGCAACGCCGCGGGAGUGAAGAAGGGUUUCGGAUCGUAAAGCUCUGUUGUGAAGGAAGCGGUACUUAACCAGAAAGGGACGGCUAACUACGUGCCAGCCGCCGCGGUAAUUC
rnacentral:rRNA from 1 species